rnacentral:rRNA from 1 species
UACGUAGGGGGCAAGCGUUGUCCGGAAUCAUUGGGCGUAAAGAGCGUGUAGGCGGCUCGAUAAGUCUGCUGUGAAAGUCCAGGGCUCAACCCUGGAAGGCCGGUGGAAACUGUCGGGCUAGAGUCCGGAAGAGGCGAGUGGAAUUCCCGGUGUAGCGGUGAAAUGCGCAGAUAUCGGGAGGAACACCAAUGGCGAAGGCGGGUCUCUGGGCCGAUACUGACGCUGAGGAGCGAAAGCGUGGGGAGCAAACAGG